rnacentral:lncRNA from 1 species
GUUCAUGACAGCUUGACUUACAACAGCCAAAACCUGAAAACAGCUUGAGAGUCCUUUAAUGUGUGAGUGAUUGAAUAAUCUGUGAUAUGUCUGUACCAUGGAAUACUACUAAAAGGACAGAAAGGAAUAAACUACUGAUACGUGCAACAACUUCGAUGAAUCGACAUAGCAUUAUGAUUCCCUGAAGCAGCUAGCACUUUCCCCAGCCAUGCAUCCCGCUGGUAUAUUUCACCAGAAGUGAGCCUGAUAUGGAACUUAACCUGAAGGCCAAAGGAGUCACUCUCUGCAGGUCAUGGAUACUGAAAGUUGCUGCUCAGAGAAAGUCUACUGACCUUUGGUGAUAUCUGGACCCAAGUCAGAAGCCCCUAGAUUGUUGUGGGGAAAUUGAGGUACAAGACCUUGAGUGGAAGAUUGGCAGGCAGCUGUGUGUCCAGAAAGGGUGGAAAUUAGAAAAAGCUAAAAGAUCUGCAGCUCCCUAACCUGGAGAGGAGGAGACUCGGGGCCAUCGUUGCCGUCCUCAGAAGUCUGAGGGCUGGAGAAGGG